ensembl:lncRNA
CUAGUGCUACCAAAUACAGAUCCUGCAGUGGACUUAGGCCAAAACGAACCUGUGAUAUACCAACACUUGAGAGUAUCUAGAAAUGUUUGUUCCUCUUCAAUAAGGACAAGUGCAGGGUGCUGCACUUGGGUUGGGGCACUUCCAGAUAUUUAUACAAACUGGGGGAAGAUCUCCUUGAGACCAGCCUUGUGGAAAAGGACUUGGGGGUCCUGGUGGAUAAGCUGGACAUGAACCAGCAGUGUGUACCUGCACCCUGGAAGGCCAACUGUGUUAUGGGCUGCAUUAAAAAAGGGACCAGCAGGGAGAGGGAGGUGACUGUCCCCCUCGACUUGGCUCUUGUGAGGCCCCAUCUGGAGUACUGAGGCGAGGGGCUCCCAGUACAGGAAGGACUUGGAGCUCUUAGAAUGGGUCCAGAGGAGGGCCACUAAGAUGAUCAGAGGGCUGGAGCAUCUCUCCUAUGAGGAAAGGUUGAGGGAACUGGGAUUGUCUAGCUUGGAGAAGACUCUGUGGAGACCUCAUUCUGGCCUUCCAAUACUUGAAGGGAGCGUAUAAACAGGAGGGAAGAACAGCUGUUUACGAGGGUGGAUAGUGAUAGAACAAGGGGGAAUGGUUUUAAACUGAGACAGGGGAGGUUUAGGUUAGAUAUUAGGAGGAAGUUUUUCACACAGAGGGUGGUGACACACUGGAACAGGUUGCCCAAGGAGGUUGUGGAUGCCCCAUCCCUGGAGGCAUUCAAGGCCAGGCUGGAUGUGGCUCUGGGCAGCCUGGUCUGGUGGUUGGUGAGCCUGCACAUAGCAGGGGGGUUGAAACUAGGUGAUCAUUGUGGUCCUUUUUUAACCCAGGCCAUUCUGAUUCUAAAGAGAUCAUUAAAAUCAAAUGCAUUUACUGAGCCCCAUUUAAAGCAGCAGAGGACAACCAUAUCCAAAUCUAUAGAAGUGAGUGUAUUGAAACAUUGCAAAAUAUUUUUUUUUAAAUCUGAUCAUUUAUCCAUGUUAGUUUUUGCAUAUCUGUUAAGCUAAUGGAAGUAUAGGGGGACAAAGGAUUAUAGUCACCCUGGUUACAAACACCUGUAUCAUAUAAUGUGCUCCUCAAGAUCUUAAUAUUUAGAAAUUUAAUAUAAUAUUCAAAUGUGACAUUCCAAAAAAUAAAAGGAAAAAAGAAAACGAAGCUACCUUCUGCUAAAAUCCCAGGCACUUGGAAUGGAAUGAGCUGUUCCAGGCUCACACACCAAAAAUCACAGAAGUUGU